rnacentral:rRNA from 1 species
GAUGAACGCUGGCGGCGUGCUUAACACAUGCAAGUCGAACGGUGAAGGCGGAGCUUGCUCUGCUGGAUCAGUGGCGAACGGGUGAGUAACACGUGAGCAAUCUGCCCCUGACUCUGGGAUAAGCGCUGGAAACGGCGUCUAAUACUGGAUACGAGCUGCGAAGGCAUCUUCAGCAGCUGGAAAGAACUUCGGUCAGGGAUGAGCUCGCGGCCUAUCAGCUUGUUGGUGAGGUAACGGCUCACCAAGGCGUCGACGGGUAGCCGGCCUGAGAGGGUGACCGGCCACACUGGGACUGAGACACGACCCAGACUCCUACCGGAGGCAGCAGUGUAGAAUAUUACACAAUGGGCGAAAGCCUGAUGCAGCAACGCCGCGUGAGGGACGACGGCCUUCGGGUUGUAAACCUCUUUUAGCAGGGAAGAAGCGAAAGUGACGGUACCUGCAGAAAAAGCGCCGGCUAACUACGUG